rnacentral:rRNA from 1 species
UCUACGGGCGGCAGCAGUGGGGAAUCUUCCGCAAUGGGCGAAAGCCUGACGGAGCAACGCCGCGUGAUCGAAUGAAGGCCUUCGGGUUGUAAAGCUCUGUUGACAGGGACGAAUAAGCAAUGCGAAUAGUUUUGUGUAUGACGGUACCUGUUUAGCAAGCCCCGGCGAACUAAGUGCCAGCAGCCGCGAUAAUACGGUGGGAGCAAGCGUUUUCCGGAAUUACUGGGCGUAAAGGGCGAGAUGGUGGGCGCGUAAGUCAGGUGUGAAAACUCCGGUCUCAACCUGGAGACUGCACUUGAAACGGGGUGUCUUGAGGGCAGGAGAGGAAAGUGGAAUU